UACGUAGGGGGCAAGCGUUGUCCGGAUUCAUUGGGCGUAAAGAGCGUGUAGGCGGCCAGGUAGGUCGGUUGUGAAAACUGGAGGCUCAACCUUCAGAGGUCGACCGAAACCAUCUGGCUAGAGUCCGGGAGAGGAGAGUGGAAUUCCUGGUGUAGCGGUGAAAUGCGCAGAUAUCAGGAAGAACACCCGUGGCGAAAGCGGCAUCCUGGACCGACACUGACGCUGAUGAGCGAAAGCCAGGGGAGCAAACGGGG
rnacentral:rRNA from 1 species